GCUCUGCCAUGGCGGGGAGGGUUGGGGGUAAGAAAUAUAAGACCCAAUUCCCUGUGGAGGCGGGGAUUCGGUGAAACCAAUCCCUUGAAUGUGGGGUGGAACCAACAUGUAACUCAAUUUGCUUUGGCUCUCACUGUGCAUUUGAGCUAAAGCAAGGGAAGCAUUUCCCCUUCCCCUGGCUGAAAGCUCAGCUGACCCCGAGGCUCUUCUGGUCAUGCUUAGGUACAGCUAUGACUCCAUCUUCAACCCCUAGAAAUCCAGCAUCCUCUUCCAACUUCUUUCUGCUGACAUCCCUUUGCCCUUCUCAGAGGCCCUACAGGACUUAAAAUGACCCCCACCUUGGCCCUCUCUCCUGCCAUGGUCCAUCUGAUCCACAUGUGGCCCAUGGGAAGAACUCACACAGCCCCUUCACUCAUCCUAAUGCAGUCCCUCCU
rnacentral:lncRNA from 1 species